rnacentral:rRNA from 1 species
AGAUUGAACGCUGGCGGCAUGCCUUACACAUGCAAGUCGAACGGCAGCACGGGAGCAAUCCUGGUGGCGAGUGGCGAACGGGUGAGUAAUAUAUCGGAACGUGCCCAGUAAUGGGGGAUAGCCCGGCGAAAGCCGGAUUAAUACCGCAUACGACCUACGGGUGAAAGCGGGGGAUCGCAAGACCUCGCGUUAUUGGAGCGGCCGAUAUCAGAUUAGC